CUUACAAAUGCAUCACUAUCUCUCACAAUCCAUAAACCUAUGUACCGCGAAAUAAUGCUUUCCUACGAGUGAUCCCAGUGCGGGUUUCCCUUUGUUACGCCUUGAAGGUGAGUUUUCCUUUCAUACGCACGUGAAUAUCUACCUGCACAGAGGAGUGUGUGAAUAGCAAAGCCCUAGGGAGAAUUAAAUAACACUCAUCCC
rnacentral:lncRNA from 1 species